rnacentral:lncRNA from 1 species
GAACUCAAGAUGGCGCACGUGGUUCUCCCCCUCUUCAUUUAGUCCCCACAAUGACCCUGUGAGGCAGGUGCAUAUGAGAGGCAGUGACUGCCCCCCCCCCGUCACCCGAUGGCUAGUGGAAGCCCUUGGAACCGUCAGAAGUGUAAUGGGUGUGGUGACUGGAGAAAGGGUCUUUGCAGUGAUGGCGCUCAAGUUGCAGAAUACUCUUCACAGGAACACCAGCUUGGCAUCAAGUUUGUUUUGCUGUUUUUUAGCUGUCAGGCACUCUCAACACCUGUUAUCCUUGGUAUCAUUGCGGACACAACAGGGUGUGAAUUCAUCUUAAGGCUGAUAGGUGUACCCUGCCCUUCAAAAACCAAAAUGUCCCCAGGACUUAAAGUCAGGAAUCAGAACCAGAAGAUGGCUGAAAUGGGCGGAAGAGACGUUGGCUGUACACAGGUACAGUCUCUGAUUGCUUGGCAAAAGCUCUGGAGAGGUCCUAACUCUACCUGGCCGCACCGAGACAGAAGUAGCUCCCACAGGUUUUACAGGAAGUUCUCCUUGUUGGAGCCACAUUUCUCUGUGUGCCCAUUCUGGGCAACACAACAGGGAAUGUUGGACUUGACUGCUCGUUCUAGAUAUCCCAAAAAGGCCAUGAAAGGGAAGGAGCUGCCCUGCUUAUUAUGGCUGGCACUCAACCAAAACUGUGGAGACCGUGUUUUGAUAAUGAAGAGUUCACUCCAUCUUUGA